rnacentral:tRNA from 1 species
GGGGUUGUGGCUCAAUGGUAGAGCACUUGCCUCAAAUGUGUGAGGCACUGGGUUUGAUCAGCAACACCA